rnacentral:rRNA from 1 species
AGAACGUGGCAGUGAGACUGUGGGGGAUAAGCUCCAUGGUCGAGAGGGAAACAGCCCAGAUCACCAGCUAAGGCCCCUAAGCGUGUGCUAAGUGGAAAAGGAUGUAGAGUUGCAGAGACAACCAGGAGGUUGGCUUAGAAGCAGCCACCCUUGAAAGAGUGCGUAAUAGCUCACUGGUCAAGUGAUUCUGCGCCGACAAUUUAACGGGGCUCAAGCACACCGCCGAAGCUGUGGCACUCGCGCGUUAGCCAGGCCCUUUGUGGCAAAGGCGGAUGGCGGUCUUGGCCGCUGCGGUUUCGGCCGCGGCCGCCCUGACUGUGGCCGCUGGAGCCUUUAGGGUCCAGGUGCGCGGGUGGGUAGGGGAGCGUCGGGUGGCGGGAGAAGCGGCGGAGUGAUCCAGCCGUGGACGCCACUCGAGUGAGAAUGCAGGCAUGAGUAGCGAAAGAGGGGUGAGAAACCCCUCCGCCGAAUGACCAAGGGUUCCUGGGGCAGGCUAAUCCGCCCAGGGUAAGUCGGGACCUAAGGCGAGGCCGACAGGCGUAGUCGAUGGACAACGGGUUGAUAUUCCCGUACCCGCUUAGGUGCGCCCAUGCCGACCCCGGCGAUGCUAAGCGCACAAUGCUGGCGAGCCCUUCGGGGCAAGCCGGCGGCGCGCGCGACCCAGACUGGCAGUAGGCAAGCUGAAGGGGUGACGCAGAAGGGUAGCUCUACCGGGUGAUGGACGUCCCGGAGUAAGGGUGUAGGGCGGCGCGCAGGCAAAUCCGCGCGUCAUCAAGCCUGAGACCUGAUGCCGAGCCGAUUUAGGCGAAGUGAGUGAUCCCAAGCUGCCAAGAAAAACCUCGCAGCGAGCACCUCGGCGGCCCGUACCCUAAACCGACGCAGGUGGUCAGGUAGAGAAUACCAAGGCGAUCGGGUGAACCGUGGUUAAGGAACUAGGCAAAUUGUCCCCGUAACUUUGGGAGAAGGGGAGCCGUGUCCGGUGAAGAGGCUUGCCCUCGGAGCUGGGCGCGGCCGCAGAUACCAGGGGAAAGCGACUGUUUACUAAAAACACAGGUCCGUGCAAAGUCGCAAGACGACGUAUACGGACUGACGCCUGCCCGGUGCCGGAACGUUAAGGGGAGGGGUUAGUGGCCUUCGGGCCGCGAAGCUCAGAACCUAAGCGCCGGUAAACGGCGGUGGUAACUAUAACCAUCCUAAGGUAGCGAAAUUCCUUGUCGGGUAAGUUCCGACCUGCACGAAUGGCGUAACGACUUUCCCACUGUCUCAACCACGGACCCGGCGAAAUUGCACUACGAGUAAAGAUGCUCGUUACGCGCAGCAGGACGGAAAGACCCCGGGACCUUUACUACAGCUUGACAUUGGUGUUUGGGGCGGCUUGUGUAGGAUAGGUGGGAGACUGUGAAGCAGGGACGCUAGUUCCUGUGGAGUCAUUGGUGAAAUACCACUCUGGUCGUUCUGGAUGUCUAACCUGGGUCCGUGAUCCGGAUCAGGGACAGUGUCUGGUGGGUAGUUUAACUGGGGCGGUUGCCUCCCAAAAGGUAACGGAGGCGCCCAAAGGUACCCUCAGCCUGGUCGGCAACCAGGUGUCGAGUGUAAGUGCACAAGGGUGCUUGACUGUGAGACAGACAUGUCGAGCAGGAGCGAAAGCUGGGACUAGUGAUCUGGCGGUGGCAUGUGGAAGCGCCGUCACUUAACGGCUAAAAGGUACCCCGGGGAUAACAGGCUGAUCUUCCCCAAGAGUCCAUAUCGACGGGAUGGUUUGGCACCUCGAUGUCGGCUCGUCGCAUCCUGGGGCUGGAGCAGGUCCCAAGGGUUGGGCUGUUCGCCCAUUAAAGCGGCACGCGAGCUGGGUUUAGAACGUCGUGAGACAGUUCGGUCCCUAUCCGCUGCGCGCGCAGGAGACUUGAGAGGAGCUGUCCCUAGUACGAGAGGACCGGGACGGACGAACCUCUGGUGUGCCAGUUGUUCUGCCAAGAGCACGGCUGGUUAGCUACGUUCGGAAGGGAUAACCGCUGAAAGCAUCUAAGCGGGAAGCUCGCCUCAAGAUGAGGUCUCCCUCGGGGUUAACCCGGUAAGGCCCCCAGCUAGACGACUGGGUUGAUAGGCCGGAGGUGGAAGCGUGGCGACACGUGGAGCUGACCGGUACUAAUAGGCCGAGAGGCUUGGCUUC